rnacentral:rRNA from 1 species
CCUACGGGAGGCUGCAGUGAGGCAUAUUGGUCAAUGGACGAGAGUCUGAACCAGCCAAGUAGCGUGAAGGAUGACUGCCCUAUGGGUUGUAAACUUCUUUUAUAUGGGAAUAAAAUGUUCCACGUGUGGGAUUUUGUAUGUACCAUAUGAAUAAGGAUCGGCUAACUCCGUGCCAGCAGCCGCGGUAAUACGGAGGAUCCGAGCGUUAUCCGGAUUUAUUGGGUUUAAAGGGAGCGUAGGUGGAUUGUUAAGUCAGUUGUGAAAGUUUGCGGCUCAACCGUAAAAUUGCAGUUGAAACUGGCAGUCUUGAGUACAGUAGAGGUGGGCGGAAUUCGUGGUGUAGCGGUGAAAUGCUUAGAUAUCACGAAGAACUCCGAUUGCGAAGGCAGUUCACUGGACUGCAACUGACACUGAGGCUCGAAAGUGUGGGUAUCAAACAGGAUUAGAUACCCGUGUAGUC